rnacentral:rRNA from 1 species
GACGAAGGAUGCAAGCGUUAUCCGGAUUCAUUGGGUUUAAAGGGAGCGUAGGUGGCCUUGUAAGUCAGUGGUGAGAUCCUGUCGCUUAACGAUAGAAUUGCCAUUGAUACUGCAGGGCUUGAGUACAGUUGCCGUUGGCGGAAUAUGACAUGUAGUGGUGAAAUACAUAGAUAUGUCAUAGAACACCGAUUGCGAAGGCAGCUGACGAAACUGUAACUGACACUGAGGCUCGAAAGUGUGGGGAUCAAACAGG